rnacentral:misc_RNA from 1 species
CAUGCCAAGUUACAAAGACAAACUUCCACUCAGAAUAACAGAUCACAGUAUGGAGCUAACCACAGUCUCAAAACAACAUAAAUAAAAGAUUAAAACCUCUCUGCCAGUCUAGCAGCAACUUGUCUAAGCUUUGAGUACACCUUCCCAGCAGGGGACCCUAAAAUUAGGCUGCAGAGAGAAUCCCUUCCAAUUUUAAUGUUUUGAAAAGAUCCUAAUAUGUGAAUCUUAGUAUCAGCAAUCACAAUCCUCGUUUUUGUCGCAUUCUCAAUAGCAAACUUUGUUUUUCCACCUUUACCUGACAAUCUCCCAAUGGCUCGAGAUAAAUGCUCACCUCUGACAGUCUUAACAUCUUUGAUUUCAAAAGAUUCCACAAAUAGUUCAUCCAAUCGUAAAAGAGCAAUAGCAUCUACAACAUCGAAACCUAGCAUGAAAGCAUGUACAAAAUCCGCACACUUCUGUAGGUUGCUGACAUCAGGUGUAUCUGAUCUCGUU